rnacentral:lncRNA from 1 species
AUGAUGGCGGCGUGUGACGGUGCUCCUCGUCUGCGCGGUCGGCCUGCGAUGAUGAAGAAAGAGCUCAAAGACGAGCCGCUGACGGCAUCGCUCCUCGGGAAGAGACCUCGUUUACCCAGCAGACUCUCUCAGUCCACGAAGUAUCUGCGUAUCAAGGAUGAGGAGGAUGACAUUGACGUAAACAGCGUUAUUUCAGGUGAGUGUUUCUUCAGUGACAGACGCUUGAGCAGAACACACUCUGCGUUUGUGAAUCCAGCAGUUGUUUCUCUGUAAUAAUUUGUUGUCGGUGUGAUGUGAGCGCUCGUGUCUCUUCUCCAGCUGUCACGCAGCACGGUUAUCUGGCUUCAAAUAAUAAUGAAACCCCUCCAUACUGAAACUUUACUUUUGUUAAGCGUUCCAUCUGUAUUGAUUCAUAAAGAAAUGAGCUGUUAUGAAGCAUUCGCGAUUAUUAAAAGACGAAGGCUGUGAUUUAGUUCUGUAAAUAUCUGUGUUUGAAGCAUGUGUUGGUUUACACGCGAGCAGCUCAUGAUUCACAUGAACUCUAGUUUGAGUCACUCUAUUCAGUUCUGUUUAGUGCACGUUUCACAGUAUGUUCCAUUUCAAAGCAGCUUUACAGGAAAUGCUUUUUAUUUUACAGUGAAAUAUUACAAUAGUUAUAUUCCUUAUUUUGCUUUUAUUUAACAAUUUUUAUAUUUUUAUUCAAUAAUAAUAAUAAUAAUAAUGUUUAUUAUUAUUACUACUUUGAGAUGUACAUUUUAAUAUGUCAUAAUUUCUGUCACAAUUUCAUCAAUAACAUAAUAGUUUUGAGUUUUUUAUUUUAUAUUUUCAGUUUCAUUUUAAAGUUUAAGAAGUAUUUUAUUUAGUCUUUUUUGUUCGUUUUUUUACAGUCUAUAAUAUAUAGUCCUUUAUAUUUUGAAUGAGAUUUUAUUUAAUUUUCAGUUUUAAAUUUAAAGUUAAUUUUAGUAUGCCUGUAAUUUUUUUAUUAUUAUUUUGAAAUAGAUGUUAUUUUUUAAUUUUCAGUCUCCUCUGGAGGUGUUUGGUCAGUCAGCUGUUUGGUUUUUGGUGCAUUAAAACAGAAUUUGCUGUAGAAACAAUAUUGCAAGCAAAUUUCACAAAUAAUUACACCCAAAUGGCAACUAAUACACUGAGCGAAACAUAAAACUGGAAUAGUAUUUUCUUGUAAAAUGUGGUCUAAUCAUUUCUGUUUUACUUACAACUUAUUACAUCAGAGUAAAUGAGUGCAGCUUUGACUGGAACAUCAAACUGGAAAAGUAAUAAUAGUGUGAACUGAACUGAAAGUGGUCCCUGUUUUCUCCUCGGGAGUUCGGACUUCGCAGGUUUGACACAGGAGUGUGAACUGAGGACAGGAGGACACAAGUCCAGUAAUUCUGCAAAUGGAGUAGCAGUGUACUUGCUCAGCUUUCUUUGGCGACUCCUAUAUUAAGACAAUCUCUGGCACACGUCACCUCUGGAUGCAUCCUUGAUAAAAGGGGCGGAGUCAAGAACACAUCUGGGGAUUUGAGCUGUACUUACGUAGUGUGUAGUGAGUGUAUGGGGCGGAUCGGCUCUGGAGUGUGUAGUGAGUGUAUGGGGCGGGAUCGGCGUCUGGAGUGAUGAGUUCAGAUGUGUGUGUGUGUGUGAUGAGUUGAGACUCUCUCUCUCUCUCUCUCUCUCCCCUCUGCUGUGCUGCUCUUUUGCGUCCUGCGGUGAUGUGUGAGCUGUGAGAAUCUAAUCGUUGCAGACGCCGUCCAUUCACGUCCUCAUCAUCAGGCCUGAUCUCACCUGAUCAUGUGACACAACAGAUUGCAAACAGUUGCUCAGACGACAAUGCAGUGUGACAGUCGCCAUGGCAACGGCUUGUGUAACGGGACACAGGUGGCGACGCAGAUCAGAGUGAAUGUCAUCAUGCCAAACACCCGCCUGCAGAAACACAGCAGUGUGUGUGUGUGUGUGUGCGCGUCUGUCACGCAUCGAUCUCAUGAUGUCCGUGUCCUGUACGCUGGCACCCCAUGAGACUCCUCAGUAUUUGUGUCUCAGUCUGAGAUCUCAUGUUUGAGAAUUACUGAAUUAUUUUUAGAAAACAUCAUCAGGAGAUUUAGUUUCUCUUUUGGCAUAAAAGGAACAACUCACCUAAAAAUGAAAAUGUGAGUGUGUUUCUUCAUCAGGUUUGUAGAAAUGUAGCAUUGCAUCAGUGUCUCAGCAAUGGAUGCUCUGCAGUGAAUGGGUGCCGUCAGAAUGAAUCAGCUGUUUGGACUCUCAUUCUGACGGCACCCAUUCACUGCAGAGCAUCCAUUGCUGAGACACUGAUGCAGUGCUACAUUUCUACAAACCUGAUGAAGAAACAAACACAUCUACUACAUUUUGUUUUUCUAUAGAAUGUAUUAAAACUACUAAAAAUAUUAUAAAAGUGGAUCUUCACAGAAACCCUUCUUACUUUACAAUAUCAGACCUGAUUGAGACAGGAAUAUUAAUUUCUCAUGCACUGAGCUCUGUUUUCUCAUUCGUGCCGGUUUGAGUUGAUUAGCAGGAUCUCUGGCGUUCGUUUAGCAGCUCUUUUGGUCCCUUUAGAGCCGUUUGUGUGGUCCGAUCAGCCUCAGCGGAGCGUGAAGGGCCAAACACUCGCGGCGUCUCAAACGCACCGCUCUUGCCAGGAACAUUUGAGCGAGCAGAGACCGAGAGCGAGAGCUCAGAGCCGUUGGUGAACCCUGUAAUCAGACAGAACAUGUGCUUUAUUUUGAUAGAAAUGCCCUUUAGUACCAACGAGCCCAAACACAAGCGGCAGCAGUUUAUUAUUAUUAUUAAAAUACUUUAUAAAUCCUUCACUGGAAAUUAUAUUUUUACACCAGCAACUACAAUUCAAUCCAUGCACACAGACAUCGCUACCUAACUAAACACCUGCAAAAGAAUCUUGCAGUAUAUAAAAAAAAAGAUUGCACAUGACUCAAUAAAAUACAUUACAGUUAUUGCACAUUGUUUGUGUCCAUUACUGCGCUGGAUUCAUCUGAACGCAGCAGGAAAACAUGGAUGUGUUCGUCACGUCUCUUCCACACUUUCUCCGAGGCGUGACAAAUGAAAGGGAAACAUUUCAGCAGAGACAGUGUGGUAAAAGCAUUGUAAAGAACUGUAAAGAAUUAUUUUUCUAGCAUGUUUUAUGAGAAAAUACUAUUUCAGUCUUUCUGCUUUAAAAAGUUUGCUUUGUAAUUAUUUGUGAAAUUUGAACAUUUACAGUGUUUUAAAAAAGUAAAUCUUACAGUACACUGAUUUUUUGAAAAAUGAUUGGUCAUCAAUAAUUAGUCCAUUAUAGGAAAUCAGUUUUUCUUUCUGAUGUAUGGGUGGUCAGUUCAGAUAUAUCCCUUCAUUCAUUUUUAUUAAUUUCCCCAUGGAGAAUAAGCGCAGGGUAACGGCUGAUCACGGAUCAGUUUGAGAGUUCAUGCGACUGCAGCUAAUGAAAUGCAACAAUCAAAUGCAAACGUUGGAUCUUCAGAAUAUUUUCUUUCCGGGUGGACUCUUGUUUUAAAUCUUAUAUUCAUGCUAAAAUAUACCCCUCUGUCAGAGAUCAAUCUCCAUCUGAUCUCAUUCAUAUGUUUGGGGAAUGUCCUAAACUACUUGAUUAUUGCACUAAGAGGCUAGAUCUUGAUACAAAUCUACUUUUGGCUAUUUUUGGGAUGGAAGUUGAUGCUGACCUUUUAGUAAUGGUCCAAAAGGCUUUUAGCCACUUUACUAGCAAGACGUCUCAUCCUGUUUCACCACCUCCUUUAGAUUCAUGGCUGAAAGAAGUGUUCGCCUGCAUUUAACUGGAAAUUGCUGGCUAACUCUAGACACUUAACCUGAGCUUAACCUGAAGACCCUUCCCUUCCCUUCCCUUCCCUAAUAGUGUGGAAUGAUAAUAAUAAAAUCAUUUGAUUUGAUGGUCCAUGCAGGAAAAAUUAAAGAGAUCACCCAAAAAUUCAGUCAUUAAUUACUCAUCCUCGUGUCGUUCCAAACCUGUAAGACCUUCGUUCAUCUUCAGAACACAAAUUAAGAUGUUUCUGAUGAAUUCUGAGAGCUCUCUGACCCUCCACAGACAUCACGGAUGCUUACACGGUCCACACACAGAAACAUAGCAAGGACAUGGUUAAAAGAAUCCAUGUGACAUCAGAGCUUCAUGUGUAUAUACACUACUGCUCAAGAGUCAGGGAUCAGUAAGACUUGUAAUGUUUUCUUCUGCUCAUCAAGACUGCAUUUAUUUGUAUCAAAAAUACAAGAAAAAAAACAAGGAAUACUUGCAAAUGUUAUUACAAUAUAA